ACCCCGAGUAAUAUCAUUUCAAAACGACAGGAGAUAUUUAUAGAUUAAUGGAUUCCAAUAAACAUCAAGUCUAAUUUGCAAACAAACAAAAAAAUAAUAACAAUAAUAACAAUAACAAACAAAGUGCAGGAAAAAAACCUACUAAUGAAAGGUGUUCUCAGUUUCUCGUUCUCGAGUAGCCAAGCCUAAAUAAAUUUCGUGGCACAAACGUACUAGUAUAACAGAAAAUUUUAAAAGACAUCUUAGAAGCCGUUUCAAAUUUUCUUUCCCCCGGCCGACGGCAUCUGUAGCUGUUCUGAGUGAGUAGAUCGAUGAGUUUAUCAUUAGCUCAACUCUCGGUGCUGUCUGGUGCAUUCAGGCACUUGAAUCUCCUAUCGGUGAAUUCAACGAGGAGGUGACUGCCAGGCGAGGACAAGCCAAAACCGUAAACUCACGAUCCUAUUCCCAUCCAACCGCUAAUCCCAAUCGAUCUUAUACAUCCCUAUCCCAUCAUCAGCUGCCGUUAGUGGUUUGAGUAUCAGAUUAUACGAUGACAUAAACGUCAACCGCUGUCAGUUGACAGAUCGAUCGCGCGCGAUACGGUUCAGGUAGAUACAAGCCGCAAUUGGGAAUCUUCGGAUCUUCUAGAGUGAACUGUGAGAGAGUGAACAUCGAGAAAACGCAUUCCGCGUCUAAAGUCCUUUCUUUAUUCAUUUAGUUUUCCGGAAGUGUUUUAAUAGCAACGGAGGACGGUCGUAGACCGCCCGUUGAUCGCGAAGUUCGUACCAGUUACUAAGAAGUAUUAGUGAGGCGAAAAUAGCGCAUAUUUUCGCAAAAGUGUCGGCCCUCAACCACGUGCUAAAAGCAGUAUCCAUCACGACGAGUCCUGUACCGACGAGAGCAGUCGGAGGAGACCCGCCCUAACCUCAUAGCUCUACCGACACAUCGAGCUGCGACUAACGGGAGAGGAUCUACGGUCUAAUCCGUGCACUAAGGCAGUUGAAGGGACCGAUAUUUUAGCCAAACAUGAUGCUAUUAAGGGUGAAAUUUAGGAACGACCGAUUGCUUUCAACGAAUUUUAUAGCGCGUAUCGCCAAAGAACACUUGACAGCUGGUAAGCUUCUUGAGAUAGAGAUGAUCUAGGUCGGUGGAUGCACUCAAUUAUUACAAAAAUAUCGACAAAGGCAUGGUUCAGGAGACUGGAUGUGAGUAGGGAUUUCAUUCGUGUGAUGUCCAGACUCAUGUCCAAUCACUACACGUUAGACGCACAUCUCCUUCAAACUGGACUUUCCUAGACUAAUUAUUGUGUUUGUGGCGAGCGUUAUCGCGAUACUGAUACAAACCAAACUCGAAAUAGUUUAUAAAAUCAUCAACAGAAUAAAUAAAAAUAUCAGCUUAUUU